rnacentral:rRNA from 1 species
CAAUAGCGUAUAUUAAAGUUGUUGCGGUUAAAAAGCUCGUAGUUGGAUCUCGGCAGGCAGGGGGUGGUUCGCUCUUAGCGCUACUGCCCCAUUUGCCUGUGUGAUUGGCGGAGGUUUCGGGGUGCUCUUCGUUGAGUGACCCGGGGCGCCGUCAGGUUUACUUCGAAAAAAUUAGAGUGCUCAAAGCAGGCUUUUCACGCUUGAAUAUUCGUGCAUGGAAUAAUGGAAUAGGAACUCGUUUCUAUUUUGUUGGUUUUCGGAAAUCGAGUUAAUGAUUAAUAGGGACAAUUGGGGGCAUUAGUAUUCAGACGACAGAGGUGAAAUUCUUGGACCGUCUGAAGACUAACUACUGCGAAAGCAUUUGCCAAGAGUGUUUUCAUUAA